CAAAAAGUGAAAUGACGCCUACAGCUGGUUGGGGUGGAAAUGCCUUCUCCCGCCUGGAGGCUGGGAUAUAUUGGCAGGUCCUGUGAGCUAAGCUGUUCCCAGGGGGACGAGUUCCAUCCUUCUGUGACAUCCCUCUCUCUGUUUCUCCUCUUUGGUCCUGCCCUGGAGUCUCCGAAGACCACCGUUGUUAUGGGAGCCUUCUUCUUCCAAGUUCCUUUUCUGGUCGUGUGGCCCUAACCAUGUCCCUUCCCCUCUGCCGCGUCAGUUGCCCCAUCUGGCUAAUGGGUGCGAUAAAUGAAGUGGUGGCUGGCGCUGACUGUCAUGCAUUCUGGGGCCCCCCCGUGCCGUCACAAAGGCCCCAAGGAGGGAGAAGGCCAGCCGUUACCAGGCUUCCCGGCGGACAGCGUGAGGCAGAAGGUAGCUCUCGGUGAGAUGGGGAGACCAAGGCCAAUAGUCUCCCUCGUUAGCCCAAGUGUGGCUCUGGGUGGCACAGAGCCAGCUGGGACUCUCACUUUUCUCAUUCUGGUCCCUGUGCUCCUGUGAACGUGACCUGAGACCUCAACAGCUGUGUCAGUGAAAGUGAUAGAAGCUGUCCACUGCGGGACUCCUCACAACACUGAGGGGCAGCCCUGGAGAAGGACAGACCCCCCUUGCAGUCCCACAGAGCCUUUGCCUGGCUGAGCCCAGCUAGUGGCGGUGAUGUCAGGCCUGCCUGCUGGUUGGGCAGGCCAAGCGGCAAUGGCCCCGGGGCCCGACAGGUGCACAGGAGGGGCAGGCCUGAGCUAUGGAUCUGGCUCUUAAAGACUGUUGAGCACAACCUUGCCCUGGCUGGGCCUCCACAGGCAUUGGGAUGGGCACUUGGGAAGCGUCACAUGGCUUUGGCACUUGGCCAGUUCUAGCUGGGAGAAGCACAACUGUGCUAGAAUCAGGAUCAUCUUGGAAGCUCAGCUCUGCCCUCGGGCUCCUUGAAAAAGACCCAGAGACCAUCCCUCAGGCAGCAAAUGGAGAUGCAGGCACUCGGUCCCCAAGCGUGGGUUGGGGCCCACUUCUAAGCCAGGCCCUGUGGGAGACAGAGAAAUGAGGCAGAAAAUCUGCAGUCACGUAGCCAGAGCACGAGCAAAAGGAGAAAUCUUGACCUGAGGUGACCACGGAACCAAAGAUCCUCCUUCAUGAGCAACCCAAGGAUGGGGACACGACCAGCUCUUGAAAGUCAGGCUCUUACCAGAAGAGAAGGGUCCCUCAUUCAAGAAGAUCCAUUGUUAAAAUUCCUUCCCCACCUCAUCAAAAAUGUUUAGAACCCUGCCGUAAAAGCUUAGAACCUCACGAUAAAAGUUUAGAACUUUACCAUAAAUGUUUGAAGCUCACCAAUCAAAAUCUGCCCCACCAGCAUUUCCACGUGCCAGCCUGUUCUCCCUAACCUCUUAAAUUUUACCCCAAAUCCUGAAUCGGGGAGAUGGAUCUGAGGGCACACACCCCCUGUCUCUCUGUAGGUCAAUCUCACAGAAUAAAG
rnacentral:lncRNA from 1 species